GACGAACGCUGGCGGCGUGCCUAAUACAUGCAAGUCGAACGAGAGCGACCGGUGCUUGCACUGGUCAAUCUAGUGGCGAACGGGUGAGUAACACGUGGGUAACCUGCCCAUCAGAGGGGGAUAACAUUCGGAAACGGAUGCUAAAACCGCAUAGGUCUUCGAACCGCAUGGUUUGAAGAGGAAAAGAGGCGCAAGCUUCUGCUGAUGGAUGGACCCGCGGUGCAUUAGCUAGAUGGUGAGGUAACGGCUCACCAAGGCCGUGAUGCAUAGCCGACCGGAGAGGAGGAGCGGCAACACGGGAACGGAGACAAGGUCCAGACAGGUACGGGAGGCAGCAGUGGGGAAUAUGGAACAAUGGGCGCAAGCAGAAUCCAGCCAGACCGCGUGGGGGAAGAAGGCAGUCGGGUUGUAAAGCCCUUGUGUAGGGAAAGAAAAGCAGCAGGGUAAAACCCCGCGGUGCUGACGGUACCCAAAGAAUAAGCACCGGCUAACUUCGU
rnacentral:rRNA from 1 species